rnacentral:ncRNA from 1 species
CGACACGACUGGCGGAAGCAAGUGGAUUACCACGGGGGAGUGUCGAGCAUAUGCAGUCGCCGACCGCCUGGGCACAC